rnacentral:lncRNA from 1 species
AUUUGCAGAGCUCUGCAGAAAUUGCACAUCUGGCUCUUUGCCUGUGCACCUGAAGUUAUCUCAGGAGAAAUUAUACAAAUUAAAUACAGACACAGAGAAGGUCUUUUUUAAUUCAAAGGAAAAGAAUAUAUAUUCAAGAAAAGCAAAAAAGGUGGAAGUUGGGCCUUUGGUCAUUAAUUCUCUCUCUCUCGGUUGCACACUGCUUCAAGGUAGUAAUUGUUAAUUAUUCAAGACUGACUUCUUGUAAAGUAAUCUUCUAGAAAGACAGCUGGACUUUUAAGACUUCAUGAACUCUAAAGAUAUGGCAGGCC